rnacentral:piRNA from 1 species
UGGUGACAGUUUGAAUUUUACAGUGUACUUU